GUUAUCAGUGAUGAAUUCAAUGCCGCCCCAGUCUGAUGUACAUCACASUGACUGACUGGCUGUUGAUUCUGAGAUUGU